UAUAAGUGAAAUCCAAUGAGCAAUCAAAGGGUAACAUCGCGAACAGAGAAAGGAUGUAUACAAAACACAGGUGUGGUUCUAGGUCAAUCCCUGUUAGAGUAGAAAAACUGAUUGGAUUGGGAUGGCAUUUUUGACGUGCAACAAUGAUCUAAUUUGCUUGAAUGUUCAUUUUUGUUUGAUAAGGAUACACAUACUUUGUGGAGUUGCACUAGUUAUUGUUGGAUUUUUGGUAAAAUUGAACUAGUUAUAACUUUUGGAUAUUUUGUGGAUAUUUUACUAUUUUAUUGUAUUAGGAUGAAAUUAUUUGUGAUGAUGAAUGGAUAUUUUCAUUUUGUUAAUU